rnacentral:lncRNA from 1 species
CAACUUCCCUGUUGUGUGGCACAAGACGGUAAGAGGGCGGCCAAAGUUAUCCAGGAAGUGGUAUAGAACAGAUACAGCACGGGCAGCGGCAGUGCAAGCCACCCCCAGCCACCCCGUGCCACUGUGUCCCAACCCUGACCUGGAGGGACCAGCUCUCGGGGAUCUUGAAGCAGGAGCACCCUGAGCUGGCAGUGCUUGCCGACGCUGUUGACCUCCAAGAGUCCACAGGCAUCGCCUCUGACAGCUCCAGUGACUCUUCUAGCUCCUCCAGCUCCAGCUCGUCGGACUCAGACUCGGAGUGUGAAUCUGGGUCAGAAGGUGAUGGGACAACACAUCGCAGGAAGAAGAGGAGAACUUGCAGCAUGGUGGGAAAUGGGGACACUACCUCACAGGAUGACUGCGUGAGCAAAGAGCGCAGUUCCUCCAGGUGACCACAUGUGGCCGCUGUCUGUGCAAGGCUGUGCUUGCAGCAAGGCUUAGGAGGGCUGACACCCAGAGAACAAGGACACUGAGAUGGGAGUUGGUAGCAUUUGGUACAGUGGCUUUUCUCCAUGGUCAUAUCUUAGGGGCAAAGGUGUGUGGAUGGUGCCAACGAAACCCUUUACCUAUUUAAUAAAGACGAAUACAUUUU